GCAUUCUGCAACCAGCCCACCGUCUAUCACCGUCAAAACAAACGGCACCGAGUGACGGUGGGCGGCCGUGGUUAUUCUUAAAUACAGUCAGGUUUAUAUCUCAGACUUGUUUGAACGCUCUGCGAUUCAAAUCAACAGUGUAUGAUUUGAUAAGGUUGUAGUACACAGAAGAGUAUUGAUGUUCUGCUGGUUGGUUUGGGCGUUGGAGUUGUGAAUCUCAGCAGCCUUGUAUGAGCAGUAAGUAGAAGGAAAUAGCGGUUUAUAUUGCAGUUUUUGUUCUCAUUUCAAUGUUGUAAGAUUUUUAUAGUUAGGAAGAGGAAAUUUCUUUGCUUAGCUUUAAAAUGGACGCCAAAGGACAGCUUCGGUCUCCUUUAUUCGUCGACAAGGCCAAAUUGAAGCGCAAACAGGCUGUAGUUUCAUUUCUGAAAGCCAAAAAGCGGUCGUCGGUGCCCCCUGCAAAGAGGGCCAAAAUCCCCGGUGGAAUUGUAAGGUGUUGCUCUGACGGGAAGGCAGUUGUGGAAAAUUACAGCAAUUUUAGAAAAAGUGGUAUUCCGGCCCGCGUUAUGUAUUUCUUCGAGGGCGGCUGGACGGAUUUUCAGUCUGAUGUUGCUGUACUCCUCAAACAGGCUUUCCAAGACGGUAAGACAGCAGUCGAGGUCGCCGUUGACGGGGUUUCGUGCCUGGUGGAUUUUCUCCAUAUGGUUCAGAUUGAUCUGAAAUCUGCUGCGCAGAGAUCGAUUGCCUGGAUAGACGUUGAUGGAAAUUGUUUUUUCCCGAGGAAUGUCUGUGAUGGGAAGGUUGAAUUGGGCAAUUCAUCUGAUAAUGUUGAAAUUGACGUCAGAUUCCAUGGCGCCGAUCGCUUGGGAGUCGAAAAUUGUAGAGUAGUUAGUGACGGAGAUCCGAAAUCUGGUCAAGUGGAGGAUUCAUCGGAGCAGGGUUCUAGUGAUUCAUGCGUCGGCAGUUCCGAUGUGUCCGACUCCGAAUGCCCCACUUCUGUUAGGGUUUUCGCUGUAAAGGCUUUUGUGGGCACGGGUGAUAAUUUGAUUAAGCUGGAUGAUCAUGACCGGGAUUUUUUCAACGUGCGAGACAAGUUUUUGGCCGGUCUUACAACGCUUGCGAGUUAUACAAGCGUUGUUGCAAUUUAUCGCAACUCGCAUUGCGGUGUUGCAGGGCAAUCCCGAUUGCAUGCUUUUGAGCGGCAUGCGGAUUUUAUUACCAGAAAGAAUGGGGGUGAUGCAAAUAUCCAGUGCGCCUGGCAUGGAACGUCCAGGGAUGCUGUUUGUGGAAUAAUAACGCAUGGUUUUGGGCAGCCUAAGACCCCGAAACAUGGUGCAGCUCUUGGCAAAGGAGUCUACCUUGCACCUGUAAAUUGCUCGUAUGUGAGUGCAGCAUACUCUGAUGUUGACGAAAAUGGCGAACAACACAUGGUGUUGUGUCGCGUAAUAUUGGGAAAUACGGAGCUGGUGAGAUCUGGUUCUCAGCAAUGUCAUCCUACUAAUGAAGAAUUCGAUACUGGCAUAGAUGAUCUCACUAAUCCAAGGCGUUACAUCGUCUGGAGUACACACAUGAACACGCAUAUCUUGCCAGAAUAUGUUGUAAGCUUUAAGGUUGCUCCACAGUUAAAAGAGUAUUGGUCUAGAUUGAAAGCAAGACAGCAUGCAAGAUCAAUGCUUGAGACUGAUGGAGGUCGGCAGUCUUAUCCUGCCUCGGAUAAGAAAUCAGAGCAACCUUGUCCUGCUUUAGUAAAGGAAUCGCGACAUAAUAUGCAGGAGCAUCUCCUGAUGCCAACUUCUGCUUGGAUGUCAUUUCCAAGGCUUUUUAACGUCAUUGAAAAAUUCUUACCUUCAUCAAGUAUCAAUUUAAUGAAGAAGCAUUAUGCUGAUUACAAGGUUUCCAGCAACUUUCAAGUAAUUUAUGAACUUCUCAUUGACACUAGUCCAGCGCACUGGGUGGGUUUGUAUACUCUUGCCUAAGGUUCUUGCAUUCUCAUCAGACAAGAUGCAAAGCAGAAGAUCCUACAAUUGAAGAAACUGUGAUGGCUUCAGUUCAUGUUAAGAGGACGAUUUUGCACAAUGAUGCCGGGUAUUUUUGAGACCUGUGGCCAUUGUACUAUUUGUGUCUGAUAUGUAGAUAAAUACCAGACCUAUUUACGUUUGCUUGGAAGGUAAGAAAUCCUCACCUUGAUCUAUAAUUGGCCAUUCUAUGCAGAAUUAUAAUUCACCUUAUAUUUUUUUCAAAAUAACAAAAAAAUUAGAGUAUCUUUAUGAUCCCAAAAUUAUUAAUUUCAUAUGGAAGAAAACAGCCACCUCACCUGGAUUAAAUCUCCUUCCUCUGGUUCUAUCAAACGCUUUUCUUUCCCAUCUUUCACUCCCUCUUAUUUCCCUACUUAAUCCAUUUUAGAUCAUCAAUGGGACUAGUUAGAGAAAUCAAAUAUUCCAUUAUUUUCAUAUUUUAGAUUAAAAGAGCAAGCUAAUGCAUGUUUUGAGGUAGAUUUUGCUUGGGUGGGAAGGAUUUUGCAUUAUUUUUCAUGAUUUCAUUCAUUGGGAUAUGCACUUAGGGUAGUAGUGGAUAGUUUCGACUUUUUAACAUUUUAAGAAUACAUACUAUAAUCACUUUUCCUCGUGCUGAAUUAUUAUUGCAGCAUUAAGUCUUAAUGGGAAAAAAAUGCAGUACUUGUUGGGUUUUAAUAGUAAGUUCCUUGGAUUCCAAUCUAAUUGGCUUGGAUGGUUAUCUUUAGUCAUUGGAUUCUUGGGGACCAUAGAACCGGAAUGGACCAAACAACUCUUCAUUAUGUCUUAUCCAUUCCCCAAUAGAAUGAAUAGCUUUCGUUGGGUGUGAUAGGUGGUGGAUCCUUUUGGAAGAGAUUUAUUUAGGUGUACAUAUGUAGCAGUCUUAUAUACAAUUGAAUACAAAUCUACUUUUGCUCUA